UAAUUGAAGAGUUUGAUCAUGGCUCAGAUUGAACGCUGGCGGCAGGCCUAACACAUGCAAGUCGAGCGGCAGCACAGAGGAACUUGUUCCUUGGGUGGCGAGCGGCGGACGGGUGAGUAAUGCCUGGGAAAUUGCCCGGUAGAGGGGGAUAACCAUUGGAAACGAUGGCUAAUACCGCAUAACCUCGCAAGAGCAAAGCAGGGGACCUUCGGGCCUUGCGCUAUCGGAUAUGCCCAGGUGGGAUUAGCUAGUUGGUGAGGUAAGGGCUCACCAAGGCGACGAUCCCUAGCUGGUCUGAGAGGAUGAUCAGCCACACUGGAACUGAGACACGGUCCAGACUCCUACGGGAGGCAGCAGUGGGGAAUAUUGCACAAUGGGCG
rnacentral:rRNA from 1 species